GGUUAAGCGACUAAGCGUACACGGUGGAUGCCCUGGCAGUCAGAGGCGAUGAAGGACGUGCUAAUCUGCGAAAAGCGUCGGUAAGGUGAUAUGAACCGUUAUAACCGGCGAUGUCCGAAUGGGGAAACCCAGUGCAAUUCGUUGCACUAUCGUUAACUGAAUACAUAGGUUAACGAGGCGAACCGGGGGAACUGAAACAUCUAAGUACCCCGAGGAAAAGAAAUCAACCGAGAUUCCCCCAGUAGCGGCGAGCGAACGGGGAGCAGCCCAGAGUCUGAAUCAGCUUGUGUGUUAGUGGAACGGUCUGGAAAGUCCGACGGUACAGGGUGAUAGUCCCGUACACCAAAAUGCACAGGUUGUGAACUCGAAGAGUAGGGCGGGACACGUGGUAUCCUGUCUGAAUAUGGGGGGACCAUCCUCCAAGGCUAAAUACUCCUGACUGACCGAUAGUGAACCAGUACCGUGAGGGAAAGGCGAAAAGAACCCCGGCGAGGGGAGUGAAAAAGAACCUGAAACCGUGUACGUACAAGCAGUGGGAGCACCUUCGGGUGUGACUGCGUACCUUUUGUAUAAUGGGUCAGCGACUUAUAUUCUGUAGCAAGGUUAACCGUAUAGGGGAGCCGCAGGGAAACCGAGUCUUAACUGGGCGUUAAGUUGCAGGGUAUAGACCCGAAACCCGGUGAUCUAGCCAUGGGCAGGUUGAAGGUUGGGUAACACUAACUGGAGGACCGAACCGACUAAUGUUGAAAAAUUAGCGGAUGACUUGUGGCUGGGGGUGAAAGGCCAAUCAAACCGGGAGAUAGCUGGUUCUCCCCGAAAGCUAUUUAGGUAGCGCCUCGUGAACUCAUCUUCGGGGGUAGAGCACUGUUUCGGCUAGGGGGUCAUCCCGACUUACCAACCCGAUGCAAACUACGAAUACCGAAGAAUGUUAUCACGGGAGACACACGGCGGGUGCUAACGUCCGUCGUGAAGAGGGAAACAACCCAGACCGCCAGCUAAGGUCCCAAAGUCAUGGUUAAGUGGGAAACGAUGUGGGAAGGCACAGACAGCCAGGAUGUUGGCUUAGAAGCAGCCAUCAUUUAAAGAAAGCGUAAUAGCUCACUGGUCGAGUCGGCCUGCGCGGAAGAUGUAACGGGGCUAAACCAUGCACCGAAGCUGCGGCAGCGACACUAUGUGUUGUUGGGUAGGGGAGCGUUCUGUAAGCCUGCGAAGGUGUGCUGUGAGGCAUGCUGGAGGUAUCAGAAGUGCGAAUGCUGACAUAAGUAACGAUAAAGCGGGUGAAAAGCCCGCUCGCCGGAAGACCAAGGGUUCCUGUCCAACGUUAAUCGGGGCAGGGUGAGUCGACCCCUAAGGCGAGGCCGAAAGGCGUAGUCGAUGGGAAACAGGUUAAUAUUCCUGUACUUGGUGUUACUGCGAAGGGGGGACGGAGAAGGCUAUGUUAGCCGGGCGACGGUUGUCCCGGUUUAAGCAUGUAGGCUGGUUAUCCAGGCAAAUCCGGAUAAUCAAGGCUGAGGUGUGAUGACGAGGCACUACGGUGCUGAAGUAACAAAUGCCCUGCUUCCAGGAAAAGCCUCUAAGCAUCAGGUAACAUCAAAUCGUACCCCAAACCGACACAGGUGGUCAGGUAGAGAAUACCAAGGCGCUUGAGAGAACUCGGGUGAAGGAACUAGGCAAAAUGGUGCCGUAACUUCGGGAGAAGGCACGCUGGUGUGUAGGUGAAGUCCCUGCGGAUGGAGCUGAGACCAGUCGAAGAUACCAGCUGGCUGCAACUGUUUAUUAAAAACACAGCACUGUGCAAACACGAAAGUGGACGUAUACGGUGUGACGCCUGCCCGGUGCCGGAAGGUUAAUUGAUGGGGUUAUCCGUAAGGAGAAGCUCUUGAUCGAAGCCCCGGUAAACGGCGGCCGUAACUAUAACGGUCCUAAGGUAGCGAAAUUCCUUGUCGGGUAAGUUCCGACCUGCACGAAUGGCGUAAUGAUGGCCAGGCUGUCUCCACCCGAGACUCAGUGAAAUUGAACUCGCUGUGAAGAUGCAGUGUACCCGCGGCAAGACGGAAAGACCCCGUGAACCUUUACUAUAGCUUGACACUGAACAUUGAGCCUUGAUGUGUAGGAUAGGUGGGAGGCUUUGAAGCGUGGACGCCAGUCUGCGUGGAGCCAACCUUGAAAUACCACCCUUUAAUGUUUGAUGUUCUAACGUUGGCCCCUGACCGGGGUUGCGGACAGUGUCUGGUGGGUAGUUUGACUGGGGCGGUCUCCUCCCAAAGCGUAACGGAGGAGCACGAAGGUUAGCUAAUCCUGGUCGGACAUCAGGAGGUUAGUGCAAUGGCAUAAGCUAGCUUGACUGCGAGCGUGACGGCGCGAGCAGGUGCGAAAGCAGGUCAUAGUGAUCCGGUGGUUCUGAAUGGAAGGGCCAUCGCUCAACGGAUAAAAGGUACUCCGGGGAUAACAGGCUGAUACCGCCCAAGAGUUCAUAUCGACGGCGGUGUUUGGCACCUCGAUGUCGGCUCAUCACAUCCUGGGGCUGAAGUAGGUCCCAAGGGUAUGGCUGUUCGCCAUUUAAAGUGGUACGCGAGCUGGGUUUAGAACGUCGUGAGACAGUUCGGUCCCUAUCUGCCGUGGGCGCUGGAGAAUUAAGGGGGGCUGCUCCUAGUACGAGAGGACCGGAGUGGACGCAUCACUGGUGUUCGGGUUGUCAUGCCAAUGGCACUGCCCGGUAGCUAAAUGCGGAAGAGAUAAGUGCUGAAAGCAUCUAAGCACGAAACUUGCCCCGAGAUGAGUUCUCCCUGAGACUUUAAGUCUCCUGAAGGAACGUUAAAGACGAUGACGUUGAUAGGCCGGGUGUGUAAGCGCAGCGAUGCGUUGAGCUAACCGGUACUAAUGAACCGUGAGGCUUAACCUU
rnacentral:rRNA from 1 species